CUACGCUCAGUCAACGCACUUCACCUCGAUCGCAAGGAUGGUUCUCUUCGCUCAACUCGUGUUUUUCUUCAUCGAAGUUAAUAAGAUAAAAGAAAAAAAAAACUCGUACCGUUCGCGAUUCAACAAACUGCACAACAAACAUCAAGAGGCUUCGAAUUGGUUAUGAAAGAAUGUGAUUCUGAAAAGUAAAAAAAAAAGGAGGAGUCUCUUCCCAUGCAGGCAAGACAUUUUACCUGGGAGGAGUCAAAAAGAUACCGACCGCUGCCUCCCACACGUCAAUCCAAGGGACCGAAGCCUGUGUGGAAAUUACUGUUCCUAUGGAACGUCGUCACUUAAAAACUACCAUAUUAGGUGUUUCUGGUAACGUUUGCUCAACAAGAUCUGAAAGCGGAUCGUGUGGACGACCAUGAAGUAGCAUCGUGACUGGUGUGUGUCGAUAUCAAGUUAUGGUGGCUUGUGUUGUUUCGACUCGGCUGUGGGGUUGCUUUCCACUAGGAAUGGGCAGAACGUAGUUUUUAAUUUAUCAUCAGUCUUUAGGGCAUGCCCCUCUGUAUUGCCCUUGGAACAUGGGUACCCAAGUUUUCUGCAUUAGACCCCCGUGUUGAUUUUUAAGAAAUGCUCACCCAAUCUUUUAUCUAUAUACACAGUAUAUAAGUUAUGCAGUACGAUGUCUCUGUAUUUACCAUGAAUUAAUUUAAUUGUUCAGAAUUACACAUAUCCGUUGGUACCUAACACUAAAAACCAAUAAACCAAAAGUAAUC